GUACUUCUGAAGAAUCCUAUACUAGGACGAAACGGCCGUCCAGUGU
rfam:Schistosoma rodhaini strain Burundi genome assembly, scaffold: SROB_scaffold0003586